rnacentral:rRNA from 1 species
GACGAACGCUGGCGGCGUGCUAAUACAUGCAAGUAGAACGCUGAAGGAGGAGCUUGCUCUUUCCGGAUGAGUUGCGAACGGGUGAGUAACGCGUAGGUAACCUGCCUGGUAGCGGGGGAUAACUAUUGGAAACGAUAGCUAAUACCGCAUAAGAGUAGAUAUCGCAUGAUAGCUGCUUGAAAGGUGCAAUUGCACCACUACCAGAUGGACCUGCGUUGUAUUAGCUAGUUGGUGAGGUAACGGCUCACCAAGGCAACGAUACAUAGCCGACCUGAGAGGGUGAUCGGCCACACUGGGACUGAGACACGGCCCAGACUCCUACGGGAGGCAGCAGUAGGGAAUCUUCGGCAAUGGACGGAAGUCUGACCGAGCAACGCCGCGUGAGUGAAGAAGGUUUUCGGAUCGUAAAGCUCUGUUGUAAGAGAAGAACGAGUGUGAGAGUGGAAAGUUCACACUGUGACGGUAUCUUACCAGAAAGGACGGCUAA